UUCUUUAAAUGAGGACUAGUAUCAAUGGCAUCACGAGGAUCUUACUGUCUCCCCGCUCCAAUCAGUGAAACUGAUCUUCCCGUGAAGAAGCGGGAAUAUACCUAUAAGACGAGAAGACCCCAUGGAGCUUUAAAUCCAACAGCACCUAUUACCCAUAUAUCUUUAUAUUUUUUUAGCAAAUGCUCGUUCGGUUUUAGGUUGGGGUGACCAUGGAGUAAAAAAUAACCUCCACGAAAAAAGGCAUAAAACCCUUAUCAAAGAGCCACAUCUCUAUGAAUUAGUAAACUAAUUUCUGAUGAUCCGAUAUUCGAUCAACGAACCAAGUUACCCUGGGGAUAACAGCGCAAUCCGCCUUAAGAGCCCCUAUCGACAGG
rnacentral:rRNA from 1 species